GAAAGCAAGAGAAGAGAAAGAGGAUAGGAAAAAAACAACAGUCUAGAAGGAUGAAGGAGAGAGGGAUGCAGUCCACAUGUCUGUCUGUGUUCACCAGGAACUUAGCCCUUUGCUCCACUACCUGGUGCCGUCUUGCUGACCCUGGACACUUACCUGGCUUGGCCGUGGGCCUCUGCCUCUGAAUGUAACUCAAGUUCCAGAAUCAAGACUCAAUUCUUUCUCCCACCAAGAUUAAGUGCUUCCUUCUUCUUUUUUCUUGCUAAAAUUUAAUAAAUGUUUUCACCAUUAAGUGCUAAGAGGUUACAGUCCCAGUUCUUGAGACAGGAAUGGAAGGAAGAUAAAACUACAGAAUCUGUCAAUAUGGACUUUUAUAAGCAUAUAGAAAGCAUGACCUGAAAAACCAGGCAGGCGUCAUUGAAGCCCAGUCAAUCCCCUCUGGAACUCCAAGCACUACAGUUCAUCCACUAUCUCCACUUCCAGGACCAUCCAGUAUGACUGGCCUGUUUUCACAAAGAACAUGACCAUCUCAGGAGAACUGCCUUUUCUGCCUCACAACUCCUGCUUUCCUCCCUGGACCACACAUUUUCUCCCCAGAUAAGAAAACACAGAGACCUAGCCAUAAGAACAAAAUAACAGCGAUUCAAUAAACAAUCCUUGCACAAACAACCAAAGAUGGAACAUGAGGCACCAAUGAGUAGCUGAAGUGGAAUAAAAUGAGGGGCAGCAUGGGCCUUUCUUUGUACCACAUCCCUCCCCCAAAGAAAGAGGAAUGACCACAUGUAUCCAGACAAAAGGACAAAAGAACUCCAUGGGGAAGGGCCUCAAUUUAGUCUUGGAAAGAACAAAGUUUUUGACUGUGGAAAAGGCAGGCUUAAAUAUGAAUUCUACCAUUUGCCACCUCUGUGAUGUUGUGUAAAGUGAUGUCUACCCUAUGUCUUCGAGUUUAACCUGUAAAAUGGGGCAGAAAUGACGUCUGGCAAAAUAUUCAUGAAGAGUAAGUGAGUCCCCUCUCUGUUUGACUCCUCCCCCAAAUGUACUACAUUACUUUCUAAGAGGCUGGCAAAAGGGCAGGAAAUGGCAGAAAGGCCAGAAGAAACAUCCUAAAAGUCCAAAAAGUUUAUCCUCUCCAGCCCAUGUCUUAUUAAGUCCCACAUGCCAGAUCAAGCAAGAGCAAAUGAGAGGCCACUGCUCCUACUUCCUCCCCUCUCCCCAUAGCCCUGAAGGUGGUCCACUCAAAUGCAGAGUCAUGGUUAAACCCUAAAGCCUUGUAGUCAGUCAUACCUGGGUUUGGAUCUCAACUUCAUCUCAAACACAGUCAGUGAGUCUACUGAUAUGGAAACCAGGAAUAGCCCUACUUAUGACAAGAGUCAUCAUAAGAAAAAAAAAUGAGAUGACACACAAAAGGUGUAGUCCAGUGUCUGACCACAAUAGUGGCCCUCCUAUUAUUUUUAUUGUUAUCAUCCUCUGAAGACUUGCUAAGCAACCUUUCAGUAAGUGUAUCAGUUACUGAAACUUUGCCUUUUCCUUCUUGUUCGGUCGGUUUUAUUCUCAAUCUUUUUAGCCUCUUCCUGAUUCUGUCCAAUCAUGUCUGGCUUCCAUUAAUUCACUAAUUUAAAAUCCUAAUAAUUAUCAGUCAUUCCAAAGCAGCUCCAAGGUACAAGAGUUCGCCAACAACAGAGAGCUGCUUCCACGGAGCUCCAGUGUGCCUCCUGCCCGAUGUUUGCAAAGCCAAGUGCGCACAGGACAUAUGCUUAUAAACAGCCCCGUCUUCACCCAGGAUACCAUCUUUUAUUAUUAUUACCCUCUUUUUUCCUUGUCAAGGCUGACAAGUUGUACCAGGUAUUUCCUUCUUACUUAGAUACCAAAAUAAAGUC